AUUGAGAUUAAAGUUGAAAAAAAAGUAGUUAUUGGUGUGAAAAUUCCCAAAAGCACCCUACAAUAUCCAAUGAAGGACAUAGUCAUUAAGAAAAAAUCACAAGUCAUUUUAUGAAAUGCCCUCCUAAUUAUGAGCAACAAUAUGCAUAUUAUCCAAUUAAAUAGGUCUAAUCAAGUAUACACACACUUUCACAUACAAAUUACUUCAUUUUCAAGAGAU
rnacentral:lncRNA from 1 species